rnacentral:lncRNA from 1 species
CUAUCAAUCCCAAAGUCCUUAGGUCUUCAGCAAAGCUUGGACCACUUGGCAAAGUCUUCUGUCUCCAGAGGAAUGAUGGGAAAACUAUGGGACAAAAGUCAGGAGAGUGGUGCUGGCUGAUCCUGGCCUGGACAUUGACUCCCUGGGGACUUUGGUGCUCUCUCGUGCUCUCUCUGUCUCCAGUGAUAAGCUGACCAGAUGCCUUGAAUUAAGUACAGUAUGCAGCAAUGCCAGCCCUGGACUUUUCCCCAACCUAUCACCCAACCCACUUACCUGGAGCCAAGGGUCACCAACAUCUCUAAUAGAAUCCAACUGUGGAAUAGAAAAACUAUUUCGUCUAAGAAGUGGAUCCUAGCUGUCAAAUAAAAAAUCGC